ACUGGAAAGAGUUAUUCAUUGGAUUGCAAAAAUGUAAUUUUGAGGGGACCCAGCAACUGUUUGUGUAGGAAAAGCCCGCAAUUCCAUGGGGAAUUCCUGCUGCAAUAGCCUCCCAGUGCCUCCUGGAGCCCGGAUCUUCCCCCGCAGAGCUGCCACUUUAACGCCAGGUUUGCCAGGAAGCAGCCACGGUUCCAGGCUCACCUGGAGGAGACGCUCCCCCGCAGGCGGGACCAGGCGGCGACACUCGACC